CUUCAUUUUAGUAUUCACAAAAAACUACUUCAGAGUUUACUUCAAAUCGGAGAUUUCCUUCAAAAUUAUAUAAUAGAAAUAGUAUGCCACACUUUCCUGUUGAUGGUGAGUGAAAAAGAGGAAUCUGGAAUUUUCGAUCGACUUCAGAGUUUACUUCAAAAUCUAUUUCCUUUAAAAUUUUCUUCUUCUUCUUCUUUGUUUUUCGUCCGGAUCUAGGGUUUGUCUUGGGUUUGGGGUUCGGUCAACGCCGGUCAACCUUCCCUCCAUCUUUUCUCCCCUUUUCUUCUCCUUCUUUCCGAUUUGGGAUUCUAAAUAUGGUUUUGUGUCACUCACGAACCAUGAAUGUGGGUGUGUGAGGAGAGUCACUGUAGCUAAGAGAGUUCGAUAUAACGCGUUAAACAGCACAAGGAAACUAGAUAAGUUAAUGGCAUCCGACUUCUUUAUCAUUUAUCUAUCAAUUUUAUUUUUCGACCAUGAUUUCACCGUUUAAAUAUGAGUGUAUGAUGAGGCUGUUUCAGACAAUAUUUAUUUUCCAGAUGGACCAUUACUGGAAUAGUAGAAUGAUAGUAUUAAGUGCAUUUGUUAUUUAUUUUCAGAUGUGAAUUACCGUUAUCAUGCUAGUGAAAAAAAUACUCUUUAAUGUUACUAAGUCCGUAAAUUUUCGAACAAGGCUUAUCGCCCGACUACGAAAAAUGAUUACUGCUCGCCGGUUUUAUCAGAAAGGCAAGGCUUUGAGGGAAUGCUUCAACCUAAUCAAGUUAGGGUUGUACUCAUCGAUGAGGUAUAUCAUGUCAUGUUCCAUAUGCGGAACAUGUCAUGUUCCAUAUGCGGAACAGUGACCUCUGCACGCUCGGACUCUCUUCGAGAGACCACAACUCUUCAAAGGAUUUUAGAGACUUGAUGGAACUCCUCGAUUUUGAUCGAGCUAGAAAAUUCAAAAAGACUUCGAUAUCCCCCGGAUAUGAAAACUCCCGGGAUAGAAUUUUUCCAGACAAGUACCAGCACUUGUAUGAAUUGAAUGGAAUAGAACAGAAUUGAAUGGAAUAGAACAUGACUAUGUAAAAGAAGAGAUAGUUUAUGUUGGGGAAAACCUAUAUCGCACAGAUGAUAUGAGAGACACAGAGUUGGAAACAUUGAAGAUGCAUAUUGAGCGCUUCAUAAAUAUGAUAGCAGAAAGCAUUAGAAAGGACCGGAUCUUAGACAUUUUCGACGUUGUUUUGAAUUAUGGUUACACAAUUAGGGACACUGUAUAGAGUGUGCAGGUGUCCUCAAUUGUGUAACCAUGAUUUAACACAACGUCGAAAUUGUCUUCAUUCCAGUCCUCGCUAAUGCUUUAUGCUAUCAUAUUUAUCAAGAGCUUAAUAUCCAUCUUUACGGUUUCCAACUCUGUGUCACUCAUAUGAUCGGUGCGAUAUAAGUUUUUUCCAACAUAAGCUACCGCUUCUUUUACAUGGUCAUGUCUUAUUCCAUUCAAUUCACACUAGUACACUAGUGUUGGUACUUAGUUUGGAAAAAUUCUAUCCUAGAGGGCUUUCCUAUGGGAGGGAUAUCCAAGUCUUUUUGAAUUCUCUAGCACUCUAUUUUAAGGCACCCGAUCAAAAUCAAGGAGUUCCAUCAAGUCUUUAAAAUCCUUUGAAGAGUUGUGGCCUCUCUAAGAAAGUCCGAGGGUGUAGAGGUCACUGUUCCGCAUAUGGAACAUUACAUCAUAUACCUCAUCGGUGACCACGAAUCUGGUGACUUGAUGAGGUUGCAGCAUUUCCACAAAGCCUCUCCUCUGAUAAAACCGGCGAGCAAUCAUCACUUCUCGUAGUCUGGCCAAAAGCCUUGUUCGAAAGUUUACGGGCUUAGUAACAUUAAAGAUUACUUUUUCACUGGCGUGAUAACGUACUCCAUCUGAAAACUCGGGUAACUUGAUUAGGUUGAAGCGUUCCCUCAAAACCUUUACGAUAAAAACCGGCCAGCAGUAAUCUUUUUUUGUAGCCGGGCGACAAGCCUUGUUCGAAGUUCAGUCGCUUAGUAAUCUCUUCCCGUAGUGGGGCAAACAUUAUGAGAUAAGCAGACUAUCAAACGGCGACAGUACAAUGACUCCCCCUGUGUGCGUGGACUUCAUAUAUUACUAGACGUGUCCAACUGUUAAUAGAAGAUUCGGAAUCUCCUCAAGCCUGUGAGCGGGCGGUGAGGAUGGAAAAUGUAAAUAGAGAAACUAACUUUGUUGCAGAGUUUUGAUUACGCCGCCAAUGCCAGCACAAAGAGAGCUGCAAGGAGCUCUCUGCGUUAGAUGGUUUGAUAUCAGGUGAUACAACACAAGGAAACUAGAUAACUUAAUGGCAUGCGACUUCUUUAUCAUCUAUCCAUCAAUUUUAUCUUCCGACCAUGAUUUCACCGUUUAAGUAUGGGACUUGUGUGCAUGAGAAGCUUUGCAAUCCAAAGUUCCAUCCACGAUUCAAGAAGGUCCAGGCUAGAACGAAAAGCAUCAGAGUACUGCCAUGAUACCUCUUCUUGAUAGUUGAUACCUGAACCAGACAGAAAUACUUGGAGACAAGGCGCGAAGAAAAGUAUUUGAGGAACAUAAAGGGUACCUGAUGAUGAUGGAGAAGGCGACAAAGCCAGAUAGAGAGGAACAUAAAGCCAGGCAGAGAAAUACUCGGGGACAAGGCACGAAAAAAAGUGCUUGAGGAACAUAAAAGGUAUCUGAUGAUGAUGGUGAAGGCGACAAAGCUAGAUCUAAUUAAAAAAAAAAAAGAAGAAAAGAGAAGAGACAGAAAUGCUUAAGAAGUUGAUGACAACAGAGAAGAAUAACAGAGAAGAAUUGUCUUUUAGAUCAUGUCAAGAUAUAACAUCAUGUCAAUGACUGUAUUGCAGCAUCCCCAACUCCAAGAGAGUUCAAUACAGAUAUAUGGUUGACUUGUCGUGUUGUGUUUGUAGGUUGGACCUUCUAUGUUCUUUAGCUCAAAACAAUUUGAAUUAUUUGAUGUAAACUGCUUGGUGUUAAGGAGAACCAUAGCUCUUUACCUGGGUGUUGUUUGUAAUUGAGUUGCAAAGAUUUUGAUGUGCCAAGAAGCACAAUGCUAUUUGUACAGCCUUUCAGUUUUGAUGUUUC